AACAAAGCUUUAUUUACAAGAAAAAAGCUGGUGGCUCUGCUUGUUUUUGCUUUAGGUCCAGUGGCCAUUGGGACAGCUGCUCCGUGCAUCCUAGCUUCCCUUUACUGACUGCAAACUUUACUUUGGAUACAAGUUAAUACUGUUGGCCGUGAUCAGAAGGAAACUUAAAAGUUUGAGGACUUAGUAACAAAGUUGUGUUUGAUGAUAUGGCUCAGGUGAAGUAGAAAUGGAGAGCUUGGAGCCGAGAGCAGGGAUUUGGGGCCCAGUUUUCGGAAUGGCUUCCGUGUGAAGGAGUUACAGAGGAUGAGAUGGAAAGGAGGGCUGUGAAUCUGGAAAUGAGUCACAGCCAUUCAUUUACUUGUUCAUUAACCAACACAAAGGUAGGUAUUGCAUUGUUAGCUCCUUUCAAGGGAUGGAUGACAUGGUGGUGAAAGACUCGGUCUCUGUCCUCCUGAAGUGUACUCAGGAGUCUGUGAAGGUGGCCCCAGAGAAAUUCAUGGUAAUGAGGACAGGGGAGGCUUACUAAGUUAAUAGUGUGGACUUGAGAAGAGCAGAGUUGCUGACUUGUGCUCUCCUAAGGUGGAAGGGACAAGUAGGUGUUCAGAUCUGUAGAAGGUAAGUGGAUAGUCCACUCAGUUAUACACCAGACCACAUUCCCGGUAAGGUUGAUUUAAUAACUGAUGGGAAAGAGAGGCCUUAGAAAAUCUUUGUUGCUUUAAAUAAUGUGUAAGUUUGUUGAUGCUGUGGGAAAUAGCAGACAUGCCAUUUGAUAGACAUAUUGGCUGUUUAUGUAUCUUAUUAUAACCUACAAAAUGUUGGCAAGUUGAAAAGUAUAUCAAUAAAAAUGCCUCCUAAGUAGCAAAUAGGUAAAACUCUUUCAAACAAAUUUAUAACUUCCUCUUAUAGGAGUGUGGGUGCUCGUGAUCUUAAUGUAUGCUGUUAGGGGGUUAAUUGUGACCCUGCAACAUUUAUGUGUUGAAGUACAGCCAGUACCUCACAGUGCAACUUAUUUGGAAAUGGGGUCAAUGCAGAUGUGGUUAGUUAAGAUGAGGUCAUUAGGGUGGACCUUAAUCCAAUAUAAUUGGUGUCCUUAUAAAAAGGGGAAAUUUAGAUGCAGAGAUAUGCAGGGCAUGGGGGGAGAUGAUGUGAACAGACAUAGGGAGAAGACAGCCAUCCACAAGCUGAGAAGCACAGCCUGGAAGAGAUCCUUCCCUCACAGCCCUCAGAAGGAGCUAGCUAGCUGAUACCUUGAGUUUGGACUUCCAGUUUCCAGAACCAUAAGACAGUAAAUUUCUGUUGGUUAAGCCACCUCGUUUGUCACUACUUUGUUACGGCUGCCUUAACAAACAAGUACACGUGUUUUCUGGGUGUUAAUUCCUGUCAACCCCCAAACUUCCUUGAGGGAUGAGGAAACCCACCAAUUCCUUAAACUGAAGGCCAAGUAAAGCUUGCCCAUGAACUAAAACUUCGGACCAUUUCCUUGGUGUCACUUUCAGCGUUGUUCUUUACCAAGCAUUGUUCUUGACUUAGAGAGCAGAUGACAUGGCAGCUCUCUCUCUCUCUCUCUCUCUCUGUCUCUCUUGCUUUUACAACCAGCCUAGUUUCCACAGCUACUUUUAAGACAUAGCCAAUAUUUAAAGUAUCUGCUGAACAUUCAGUUCCCAGAAGCCCAGCUUUGGAUGACUCCUGUGUCCUUGAGGACAAUGAGUAGGGGAGACCUGGUUCCAUCCGGGCCUCCGCUGCUCGAUGGCUGUGAGCCGCCCAAAAGCAGCUGGCAGAGGCAAUCCCUGCAGCUGCGAGAGGCCUCUCAAAAAUGGAUGCAGUGUGUUCCUCCCAAAACCAGUGUUCGCCCUCUUCUACAGAAC
rnacentral:lncRNA from 1 species